CCGGGCCGCGCUCGCAGAGUCCUAGGCGGUGCGCGGCCUCCUGCCUCCUCCCUCCUCGGCGGUCGCGGCCCGCCGGCCUCCGCGGUGCCUGCCUUCGCUCUCAGGGUACCUUCCUUCCGCGAGCGCGCUCCUCCGCCCUCCGCCCCGCCCUCCCCUCCCCUCUGUCUGUAUUCUUUGUCCACCACCGGCGCCCUCGGAGCUUGCAUUUGCCUCUCCGAUACUUUAUAUUGAUUUUGUUCUUUUCCGUGGCCAAGUAUCGGUUUCACAUCCUUUCUAUGACCUUCACCGUUAGGCCUCUGUUCUCGUCUCUUUUCAAUCAUUGUCAUUGACUCAACCUGUCCCCGCUCCCUCUGUCUCCACUAAGAUGACAUGCUCAACUGGAUGACUUGGAGGAAGGUGACUUUCCCUGUUAUGCCUUCCCUAUUUCGGAUGGAGCCUCAGACUUUAACUGUCUACUCUGUUGUCUGGACUUAAGUUGAGUGAAAGAAGAUUCCUCUGCAACAGCUUUAAUCCGUUUUGCUCGCUUUGUUGGCUUGGAGCGAAUAAUUAAAAUAAUAAUAUCUCGUAGCCACCUUCUAGACUUUUCUGACCCAGUUUCCAUAUGUGUGAAGUAAAAUAUCUUACCGAAGUAUUAUUAUGAAGAUUAAAAGAUAAGAUACAAAUAGGCUUCAUUCCGAAGAGAGCUAAAAAGUCUCUUAAAAGCCGUAAUUGUGGCGUAAUUGAGGAGCUCAAGCUUGGGAAAAUGGUGUGCAUUCCUUGUAUCGUCAUUCCAGUUCUGCUCUGGAUCUACAAAAAAUUCCUGGAGCCAUAUAUAUACCCUCUGGUUUCCCCCUUCGUUAGUCGUAUAUGGCCUAAGAAAGCAAUACAAGAAUCCAAUGAUACAAACAAAGGCAAAGUAAACUUUAAGGGUGCAGACAUGAAUGGAUUACCAACAAAAGGACCAACAGAAAUCUGUGAU
rnacentral:lncRNA from 10 species